AACGUAGGGUGCUAGCGUUGUCCGGAAUUACUGGGUGUAAAGGGAGCGCAGGUGGCAGUGCAAGUUGGAUGUAAAAUCUACGGGCUCAACCCGUAUAAGCAUUCAAAACUGUGCAGCUUGAGUGAAGUAGAGGUAGGUGGAAUUUCCGGUGUAGCGGUGGAAUGCGUAGAUAUCGGAAGGAACAUCAGUGGCGAAGGCGACCUACUGGGCUUUAACUGACGCUGAGGCUCGAAAGCAUGGGUAGCAAACAGG
rnacentral:rRNA from 1 species